UACGAAGGGAGCUAGCGUUGUUCGGAAUUACUGGGCGUAAAGGGCGCGUAGGCGGGUUUCCAAGUCGGGGGUGAAAUUCCAGGGCUCAACCCUGGGACGGCCUUCGAUACUGGGAGCCUGGAGAUCGGGAGAGGUGAGUGGAAUUCCGCGUGUAGCAGUGAAAUGCGUAGAUAUGCGGAGGAACACCGAUGGCGAAGGCAAUCCCCUGGGCCUGCACUGACGCUCAUGCACGAAAGCGUGGGGAGCAAACAGG
rnacentral:rRNA from 1 species